rnacentral:lncRNA from 1 species
UGAAUGUAAAUGUAAACAUAUGGUUUUGAAAUUUAAAGAAAAUAUGGUUCACGUCACCGAUUUUGUUAAUUACAAAAGGUGCAUAAAUUACUUCUUAUUAUAUUCAGUCUUGCAAGGUGUGCGGGUAUUUGUGGUGGCCAAAUCGCAAUUUGUUGAUUGUGGUGAUAAACUUACGGCUAGCUAUAUCCAGCUCAUGAUACCAAAGAAAAUCCAGCACAAAGUUAGAGAUUUCAGAAGAUUUCAGAAGAGACCUUUCAGAAGAUCAUAAGGUCAAUGUACCAUCUGCUCUAAUGAAAUGAGGUACACCGGCAUUCGUCGCAAACGAAUUCUAACAAGCACCAGUGGCCCCUUCACUUGUGUGGCUUGACGGAACACAGUGGGGUUUUAGUCCAUAGGAAUCCGGCAUAACCCACAACCCCUUCCCGGGUUCCGUGGGUAUCUAUGCAAGAUUUUUCCACUAUAAAAAAAGAUCACAUAAAAGAGAAAUGAAGCAGUCAGAACAACUUCCUCCACUAAAUCCAAAUUGAACAUGAGGGAUGAUGCUAUUAGAUUCCAAAUACCAGUCCAGGCGAGAUUUAACCAUGUUUUCAAAUAUCUUUCCAAGACAUGAUGAUAUUGAAAUUGGGCGAUGGGAACUACCCUGUUCAGGUGAUUUAUCUGGGUUUAAGUAUAGAAUGAAUAAAUUAAAACAUCAUGAACAUUGUUGAAGAGGGUGAACAUAGUCAAAAAUUCAACAAACUAAAAGAGAAAUCUAAUCUAAACUGCAAUAAUUUCAUAUUUGGAAGUUAAUUUUGUGAACAUUUGUUAUAUAAAUAUAAAUGCGACAAAUUAGAUGACAAAUCUAAUUAUACCAGUUUUUCAAUUUGGGCUGCUGGGAUAUAUGCUUUUAUAUCAUAUCUAUCCAGAAAUUUGUUGUUGUUUAGAAAAAUAUUGGCCGUGUUGUGCUGUUUGAAGACCACAACUAUUUUAUUGGGGCUAAUACGUCUCAGUGCCUCCACACCUUUAAUAUUAAAAAAAUAAAUGAUUGAAAUAAA